rnacentral:rRNA from 1 species
GAGUUUGAUCUUGGCUCAGAACGAACGCUGGCGGCAUGCUUUACACAUGCAAGUCGAACGAGUAUGGAACCCUAGCAAUAGGGCACCCAGCUAGUGGCAAACGGGUGAGUAACGCGUGGGAACCUUCCCUACAGUACGGAAUAGCCUCGGGAAACUGGGAUUAAUACCGUAUAUUCUCUUCGGAGGAAAGAUUUAUCGCUGUAGGAUGGGCCCGCGUCAGAUUAGCUAGUUGGUGGGGUAAUGGCCUACCAAGGCAACAAUCUGUAGCUGGUCUGAGAGGAUGAUCAGCCACACUGGAACUGAGACACGGUCCAGACUCCUACGGGAGGCAGCAGUGGGGAAUAUUGGACAAUGGGCGCAAGCCUGAUCCAGCAAUGCCGCGUGAGCGAUGAAGGCCUUAGGGUUGUAAAGCUCUUUCGCAGGGGAAGAUAAUGACGGUACCCUGAUAAGAAGCCCCGGCAAACUUCGUGCCAGCCGCCGCCGUAAC